rnacentral:misc_RNA from 1 species
GGAAAAUGCUAGGCUAUGCAUGGGCGUCGAGGUGAGGACUGGAAACGGACUCGGCACAUGUGGACAGUCCCCACACGUGGUACUCAGAUCGUAGAAGCAGAUGGUUCUUCGUCAUCGUCUUCGUCUGCACCGAAUUCGUUUUGUAAGGGUGGACGUAGGAUUAGUGUUGGUGAUUGUGCUCUUUUCAAACCCCCCCAAGAUUCC